AUGAUCUACUCUUAUUAUUUGCAAUUGCUAGAUGACUUAUCUUUUGCUGCUUAUUUGACAGGGGAAGAAGCAAGUGGUGUAGAGGAACCAAUUCAUGAAGAAGCAAGUGGUGUAGAGGAAGCAAUUCAUGAGGAAGCAAGUGCUGUACAGAAACCAAUUCAUGGGGAAGGCAGAGAACUCACAAAUGAGGAGAGAUAUGGUAUUUAUUUUGCACUCACGGUGAUCAAGACCAAAAAUGGACAAGUUCUGAAAAAAGACAAGGAGGUCAUUGCUAGCCUACUCGAUACAACCGUAAGAACUGUUGAGAGAAUAUGGGAAAGAGCUCUUAAACAGAUUGAACAAGGGGAGAAAGUUGAUGUCUCAAAUCAAAAGCCAGGUAGAGUUGGCCGCAAGCGGAAAGAUUUGGAUCUGUCGAGGGUGGUGACAAUCCCAUUGAAUAGAAGGAGAACAUUGCGAGGUCUGUCAAAGGCAUUGGGUGUAAGUUGCACGACCUUACACUCAAGGUUUGAGUGGGGUCAUUUGAGGCGUCACAGUAAUAAGGUGAGGCCCCGCUUAAACCUAUCCAACAUUGUAAAGAGAUUGAAAUGGUGCUUAGCUAUGUGUGAAGAUUAUUGGUUUGCAACACGGGAAUUAGACAACAUAGCCUACAUGGACGAAAAGUGGUUCAACAUGACUGGUGUGACGCCCCCGAUUUGA
rnacentral:rRNA from 1 species